GUAGUUUGAUCAUGGCUCAGAUUGAACGCUGGCGGCAUGCCUUACACAUGCAAGUCGAACGGCAGCAUGAUCUAGCUUGCUAGAUUGAUGGCGAGUGGCGAACGGGUGAGUAAUACAUCGGAACGUGCCCUGUAGUGGGGAUAACUAGUCGAAAGAUUAGCUAAUACCGCAUACGACCUGAGGGUGAAAGUGGGGGACCGCAAGGCCUCAUGCUAUGGAGCGGCCGAUGUCUGAUUAGCUAGUUGGUGGGUAAAGGCCCACCAAGGCGACGAUCAGUAGCUGGUCUGAGAGGACCGAUCAGCCACACUGGGACUGAGACACGGCCCAGACUCCACGGGAGGCAGCAGUGGGGAAUUUUGGACAAU
rnacentral:rRNA from 1 species